rnacentral:rRNA from 1 species
AGGGCGUACGGCGAAUGCCUGGCCACUCGAAACUGAAGAAGGACGCGCCAAACUGCGAAAAGCUCCGUGAAGCUGUAAGGAAGCGAAGAAGCGGAGGUGUCCGAAUGGGGGAACCCGGCAGCAGACAUGAGCUGUCAUCUGCAGGUGAAUACAUGGCCUGCAAGAGAGGUACCCGGCGAACUGAAACAUCUAAGUAGCCGGAGGAAAAGAAAACAACAGUGAUUCCCUGAGUAGCGGCGAGCGAAAGGGGAGAAGCCCAAACCGGUUGAAGGACCGGGGUUGAAGGACCAUGACAUGGCAAGAACGAGGAUAGGAGAACGGGAUCGAAAGCCCGGCCGAAGAAGGUGAAAGCCCUGUAACCGAAAUCCGAGUAAAGCCUAAUGGGAUCCUGAGUACGGCGAGACACGAGGAAUCUUGUCGGAAGCAGGCGGGACCAUCCGCCAAGGCUAAAUAUAAACGAGUGAGCGAUAGUGAACCAGUACCGUGAGGGAAAGGUGAAAAGAACCGCGGGAGCGGAGUGAAAGAGAACCUGAAACCGUAUGCCUACAAGAAGUCAGAGCCCGUUAAGGGGUGAUGGCGUGCCUUUUGUAGAAUGAACCGGCGAGUUGCGACAGACUGCGAGGUUAAGGAGGAAAGACCGGAGCCGAAGCGAAAGCGAGUCUUAAGAGGGCGAAAGUAGGAUGUUGCAGACCCGAAACCGGGUGAUCUAGCCAUGAGCAGGUUGAAGUUGAGGUGAAACUCAAUGGAGGACCGAACCGACUACCGUUGAAAAGUUAGCGGAUGACUUGUGGCUAGGGGAGAAAUUCCAAUCGAACCCGGAGAUAGCUGGUUCUCCCCGAAAUAGCUUUAGGGCUAGCGUCGGAAAGAACCUUAGUGAAGGUAGAGCACUGAAUGUGUGAUGGCCCCAUCCCGGGGUACUGAAUACAAUCAAACUGCGAAUGUCAUUAAGGAUGUCCGGCAGUCAGACUGUGAGUGAUAAGGUCCAUGGUCAAGAGGGAAACAGCCCAGACCGCCAGUUAAGGUCCCAAAAUACAGGCUAAGUGGAAAAGGAUGUGGGGAUGCCCAGACAACUAGGAGGUUGGCUCAGAAGCAGCCAUCCUUUAAAGAGUGCGUAACAGCUCACUAGUCGAGUGACCCUGCGCCGAAAAUGUACCGGGGCUAAGCCUGAUACCGAAACUGCGGAUUGUAGGAAACUAUAGUGGUAGGGGAGCGUUGUAUACGAGCAGAAGCCGUACCGUGAGGAGCGGUGGAUUGUAUAGAAGUGAGAAUGCCGGUGUGAGUAGCGAGAUGUAGGUGAGAAUCCUACACACCGAAAGCCCAAGGAUUCCAGGGGAAGGUUCGUCCGCCCUGGGUAAGUCGGGACCUAACGCGAGGCCGAAAGGCGUAGUGGAUGGAAAGCAGGCGAAAGAUUCCUGCACCCGUAUAUGGAGCGAAGGAGUGACGGAGACGGAUAGUGUGACCCUCUUAAUGGAUUGAGGGCGAAGCGAAGCGGCUGGUUACCAGGCAAAUCCGGUAACCAAAAGGCUAGAGCGUGACAGGUAAGCGAAAUCUUAGGAAAGUAGCGAAGCACAUGAUGACGGCUUCCAGGAAAAGCUUCUGGCAAUGCAUAUGCGGCCCGUACCAAAACCGACACAGGUGGGCAGGGAGAGAAUCCCGAGGUGAGCGAGAGAACUGUUGCCAAGGAACUCGGCAAAAUGACUCCGUAAGUUAGCGAGAAGGAGUGCUUAAGCAAUUAAGCCGCAGUGAAGAGGCCCAAGCGACUGUUUAACUAAAACACAGCUCUCUGCGAAGUCGCAAGACGAAGUAUAGGGGGUGACACCUGCCCGGUGCUGGAAGGUUAAGAGGAUCUGUUAAGAGCGAUCUGAAGCAGUGAUCCGAAGCCCCAGUGAACGGCGGCCGUAACUAUAACGGUCCUAAGGUAGCGAAAUUCCUUGUCAGGUAAGUUCUGACCCGCACGAAAGGUGUAAUGAUCUGGACACUGUCUCAACCAUAGACUCGGUGAAAUCUUAAUACCUGUGAAAAUGCAGGUUACCCGCAACAGGACGGAAAGACCCCAUGGAGCUUUACUGUAGCUUGAUAUUGAGGUUCGGUGUAUUAUGUAGAGGAUAGGUGGGAGACUAAGAAGCUAGGACGCCAGUUCUAGUAGAGUCAACCUUGGAAUACCACCCUUAAUACAUUGGACUUCUAACCUAGGACCGUAAUCCGGUUCAGGGACAGUGUCUGGUGGGCAGUUUGACUGGGGCGGUCGCCUCCCAAAGAGUAACGGAGGCGCUCAAAGGUUCCCUCAGAAUGUUUGGAAAUCAUUCUAAGAGCGUAAAGGUAUAAGGGAGCUUGACUGCGAGACCAACAAGUCGAGCAGAUACGAAAGUAGGACUUAGUGAUCAGACGAUGCAGAAUGGAAUGGUCGUCGCUUAACGGAUAAAAGUUACCCUGGGGAUAACAGGCUGAUACCACCCAAUAGUUCACAUAGACGGUGGUGUUUGGCACCUCGAUGUCGGCUCGUCACAUCCUGGAGGUGAAGUCGCUUCCAAGGGUUGGGCUGUUCGCCCAUUAAAGUGGCACGCGAGCUGGGUUCAGAACGU